rnacentral:rRNA from 1 species
UGGGGAAUCUUCGACAAUGGGGGCAACCCUGAUCUAGCCAUGCCGCGUGAGUGAUGAAGGCCUUAGGGUUGUAAAGCUCUUUCAGCUGGGAAGAUAAUGACGGUACCAGCAGAAGAAGCCCCGGCUAACUCCGUGCCAGCAGCCGCGGUAAUACGGAGGGGGCUAGCGUUGUUCGGAAUUACUGGGCGUAAAGCGCACGUAGGCGGACUGGAAAGUUGGGGGUGAAAUCCCGGGGCUCAACCUCGGAACUGCCUUCAAAACUAUCAGUCUGGAGUUCGAGAGAGGUGAGUGGAAUUCCGAGUGUAGAGGUGAAAUUCGUAGAUAUUCGGAGGAACACCAGUGGCGAAGGCGGCUCACUGGCUCGAUACUGACGCUGAGGUGCGAAAGCGUGGGGAGCAAACA